AGCGAACGCUGGCGGCAGGCCUAACACAUGCAAGUCGAACGAACCCUUCGGGGUUAGUGGCGGACGGGGGAGUAACACGUGGGAACGUGCCUUUAGGUUCGGAAUAACUCAGGGAAACGUGUGCUAAUACCGAAUGUGCUCUUCGGGGGAAAGAUUAAUCGCCUCUAGAGCGGCCCGGGUCCGUUUAGCUAGUGGGUUGAGGUAAUGGCGCCUCAGGGCGACGAUCAGCAGGUGGUAUGAGAGCAUGAUCAGCCACAUUGGGACUGAGACACGGCCCAAACUCCUACGGGAUGCAGGAGUGGGUAAUCUUGCGCAAUGGGCGAAAGCCUGAAGCAGCCAUGCCGCGUGAAUGAUGAAGGUCUGAAGAUUGUAAAGUUCUUUCACCGGGGACGAUAAUGACGGUACCCGGAGAAGAAGCCCCGGCUAACUUCGUG
rnacentral:rRNA from 1 species